rnacentral:rRNA from 1 species
ACUCAAAUGAAUUGACGGGGGCUCACACAAGCGGUGGAGCAUGUUGCUUAAUUCGAAGCAACGCGAAGAACCUUACCUGGGCUUGACAUGCUUGGAUUAACCCCUGGAAACAGGGGCCACACCCGCAAGGGUGGAACAAGCACAAGUGCUGCAUGGCUGUCGUCAGCUCGUGCUGUGAAGUGUCGGGUUAAGUCCCUUAACGAGCGCAACCCUUGUCGCUAGUUGCCAGCGGGUAAUGCCGGGUACUCUAGCGAGACUGCCGGUGUCAAACCGGAGGAAGGUGGGGAUGACGUCAAGUCCUCAUGGCCCAUUUAUGCCCAGGGCUGCAAACGUGCUACAAUGGCGCGCACAAAGCGACGCGAGGCCGCAAGGCGGAGCAAAUCGCAGAAAACGCGCCCCAGUUCGGAUUGCAGGCUGCAACCCGCCUGCAUGAAGCCGGAAUCGCUAGUAAUCGCGGAUCAGCUACGCCGCGGUGAAUACGUUCCUGAGCCUUGUACACACCGCCCGU